rnacentral:rRNA from 1 species
GACGUAGGGCGCGAGCGUUGUCCGGAUUUAUUGGGCGUAAAGAGCUCGUAGGCGGCUUGUCGCGUCGACUGUGAAAUCCCGCGGCUCAACUGCGGGUCUGCAGUCGAUACGGGCAGACUAGAGUGCGGUAGGGGUGACUGGAAUUCCUGGUGUAGCGGUGGAAUGCGCAGAUAUCAGGAGGAACACCAAUGGCGAAGGCAGAUCUCUGGGCCGUAACUGACGCUGAGGAGCGAAAGCAUGGGGAGCGAACAGG